GAUUUCUCCAAACACGCUUCCAGCCUUUAGUGUGACAAACACAAUACUGUUGUCCGGUCCUCCCACCACCUGCACCGCCCCGCUUUUGAUGAUGUACAUCUCUUUGCCGAUGUCCCCCUGUGGAGGCGAGCGCAGAGUCUCCAGGUAGAUAAACGAUUGACUUGAGCCUCAGCAACAUGUCCACCAACAUCUGCUGGUCACAGCCCUGAAGAGGCAACAGAAGAUUGACAGGAGGACACAAAAAAUGCUGAGUCACCUGAAACAGUGCAAUCUUCUGGAAGGUGCUCAGGUUGAUGUCAACAGCAAUGGCGGUUUUCAUCACCAGAGGCAACGCAUCCAGCAGCUCGGACUCAUCUGGAGAAGACAUGAAUAUCUCAUCAUACAGUAAGCUGUCAAAAGCAUUUUCUUAACGCAUCUAAAAAAUUGUGUGGUUAUUUAAAUAUUAGUCUAG